CAGCCCAGCCCUGACCCUGCAGCUGUGGGACAGGAGCCCCAGCCCCGGGAUCCCCAGGUGUCCCCAUUCCGUGGUCAGGACUGAGCACAGACGACACACCAUGGAGUUUGGGCUUAGCUGGGUUUUCCUUGUGGCUGUUUUAAGAGGUGUCCAGUGUGAGGUGCAGCUGGUGGAGUCUGGGGGAGGCUUGGUGCAGCCUGGGGGGUCUCUGCGCCUCUCCUGUGCAGCCUCUGGAUUCACCUUCAGUAGCUACUGGAUGAGCUGGGUCCGCCAGGCUCCAGGGAAGGGCCUGGAGUGGGUCUCAUACAUUAGUGGUAGUGGUGGUAGCACAUACUACGCCGACUCCGUGAAGGGCCGAUUCACCAUCUGCAGAGACAACGCCAAGAACACGCUGUAUCUGCAAAUACCAGCCUGAGAGCUGACGACAUGGCCGUGUAUUACUGUGCGAGGGACACAGUGAGGGG